rnacentral:lncRNA from 1 species
GUCCACUCCCAGGACCCUGGGCAGCAACGGGUGCUGGACUGGGCCACCUGGCAGCGUCACAUCAACUGGCAGCUAGAAGUCCUGGAGAAUGACAACUUCCAGGACGACCCCCAUGUGGGACUCCCUCAGCUCAGCAAGAGACUGCCACAGUUCGAUGAUGAUGCAGACACCAGACAGUAAAAGAAGAAAACCCGAGGUGAUCAUUUUCAACUUCACGUCCAAAAAAACUUUCAGGCCCUGCUGGAGGAGCAGAACUUGAGUGUGGCCAAGGGCCCCAACUACCUGAUAGCCUGUGCAGAGUCCCUGUCGCAGCCACAGCGUUCCUUCUGUGCUGUCUGCAGCUUCCCCUCCCCCUACACCUGUGUCAGCUGUGGUGCCUGGUAUUGCACCGUGUGCUGUCUGGGGACCCACCAGGAGACCAGAUAUCUGAAGUGGACCAUGUGA